rnacentral:rRNA from 1 species
GGCAGGCUUAACACAUUGCAAGUCGAGGGGCAGCACGUGUUCGGAUGGUGGCGACCGGCGCACGGGUGCGUGAACGCGUGAUGACAAUCUACCUUUUACAGGGGCAUUGAGCCCGGGGAAACCCGGAUUAAUAUCCCAUGGUAUUAUUAAAUGGCAUCGUUUGAUAAUUAAAGCUUCGGCGGUAAAAGAUGAGUAUGCGUCCUAUUAGCUAGAUGGUAAGGUAACGGCUUACCAUGGCUACGAUAGGUAGGGGUCCUGAGAGGGAGAUCCCCCACAACUGGUACUGAGACACGGACCAGACUCCUACGGGAGGCAGCAGUGAGGAAUAUUGGACAAUGGGCGAGAGCCUGAUCCAGCCAUGCCGCGUGCAGGAAGACUGCCCUAUGGGUUGUAAACUGCUUUUAUACGGGAAGAAACACCCCUUCGUGAAGGGGCUUGACGGUACCGUAUGAAUAAGGAUCGGCUAACUCCGUGCCAGCAGCCGCGGUAAUACGGAGGAUCCAAGCGUUAUCCGGAAUCAUUGGGUUUAAAGGGUCCGUAGGCGGGUUUGUAAGUCAGUGGUGAAAGUCUGCAGCUCAACUGUAGAACUGCCAUUGAUACUGCAUACCUUGAGUAAUUAUGAAGUGGUUAGAAUAUGUAGUGUAGCGGUGAAAUGCAUAGAUAUUACAUAGAAUACCGAUUGCGAAGGCAGAUCACUAUUAUUACACUGACGCUGAUGGACGAAAGCGUAGGNAGCGAGCUGGAAUAGAUACCCUGGUAGUCUACGCGGUAACGAUGGGUACUAGCUGUUCGGGCCGAAUGAAAGCCUGAAUUGG